rnacentral:rRNA from 1 species
AGUCGUGCGCGAAAGUCUUCGGACGAGUAAAGCGGCGAAAGGGUGAGUAACACGUAACAAACCUACCCCUUAGAUCGGAAUAACCACUGGAAACGGUGGGUAAUGCCGGAUGGUCCUUCUUUGAGAUAUCUCUUAGAAGGUAAACGGCGGCUUACGCUGCUGCUAAGGGAGGGGGUUGCGGCCUAUCAGCUUGUUGGUGAGGUAAAAGCUCACCAAGGCUAUGACGGGUAGCGGGUCUGAGAGGAUGAUCCGUCACACUGGGACUGAGACACUGCCCAGACUCCUACGGGAGGCUGCAGUCGAGAAUCUUCCACAAUGGGCGAAAGCCUGAUGGAGCGACACAGCGUGUGGGAUGAAGGCUCUAGGGUUGUAAACCACUGUCACACUUUAGGAACCGCGUGUCGUUAAUAGCGGCACAUCUGACCAAGGUGAAAGGAAGCGCCGGCUAACUCCGUGCCAGCAGCCGCGGUAAUACGGAGGGCGCGAACGUUACUCGGAAUCACUGGGCAUAAAGGGCAUGUAGGCGGCCCGACCAGUCAGAUGUGAAAUCCUUCGGCUCAACCGAAGAACUGCAUUUGAUACUGUCGGGCUCGAGGAUGGUUGGGGUAAGCGGAACUCCUGGUGGAGCGGUGAAAUGCGUAGAUAUCAGGAGGAACACCAGUGGCGAAAGCGGCUUACUGGACCAUUACUGACGCUGAGGUGCGAAAGCUAGGGUAGCGAACGGGAUUAGAUACCCCGGUAGUCCUAGCCGUAAACGAUGGGCACUAGGUUGGGGGAACUCCUAUGGUUUUCCCAGCUGUAGCAAAUGUGUU